GAACGCACAUUGCACCCUCUGGUAUUCCGGGAGGGUAUGCCUGUUUGAGUGUCAUUAAUAUAUCAACACAGACAAGUUUUUCAUGACUUGAUCUGCUGCUUGGAUGUUGAAGGCUUGCUGGCAUUGACAUUUUCUGUCAGCUCCUUUUAAAUUCAUUAGCAGGAACAUUGCAGGACUGGCUUCAGUUUGAUAAGAUUGAACUGUUGUUAGAAUGCGCUUUUGCUGUUCCGGCUUCUAAUUGUCUGGUAAAACUGGACUGUCUCUCUCUGAGACAUUUACAUUUGACAACUUGGCCUCAAAUCAGGUAGGACUACCCGCUGAACUUAAG
rnacentral:misc_RNA from 1 species